rnacentral:rRNA from 1 species
GACGAACGCUGGCGGCGUGCUUAACACAUGCAAGUCGAACGGAAAGGCCCUGCUUUUGUGGGGUGCUCGAGUGGCGAACGGGUGAGUAACACGUGAGUAACCUGCCCUUGACUUUGGGAUAACUUCAGGAAACUGGGGCUAAUACCGGAUAGGAGCUCCUGCUGCAUGGUGGGGGUUGGAAAGUUUCGGCGGUUGGGGAUGGACUCGCGGCUUAUCAGCUUGUUGGUGGGGUAGUGGCUUACCAAGGCUUUGACGGGUAGCCGGCCUGAGAGGGUGACCGGCCACAUUGGGACUGAGAUACGGCCCAGACUCCUACGGGAGGCAGCAGUGGGGAAUCUUGCACAAUGGGCGGAAGCCUGAUGCAGCAACGCCGCGGGCGGGAUGACGGCCUUCGGGUUGUAAACCGCUUUCGCCUGUGACGAAGCGUGAGUGACGGUAAUGGGUAAAGAAGCACCGGCUAACUACGUGC